rnacentral:rRNA from 1 species
UACAGAGGUCUCAAGCGUUGUUCGGAUUCAUUGGGCGUAAAGGGUGCGUAGGCGGUUCGUCGCGUCGGCUGUGAAAACCUGAGGCUCAACCUCAGGCCUGCAGUCGAUACGGGCGGACUUGAGUACUGCAGGGGAGACUGGAAUUCCUGGUGUAGCGGUGAAAUGCGCAGAUAUCAGGAGGAACACCGGUGGCGAAGGCGGGUCUCUGGGCAGUAACUGACGCUGAGGAGCGAAAGCGUGGGGAGCGAACAGG